GCCUGAUGCAGCCAUGCCGCGUGUAUGAAGAAGGCCUUCGGGUUGUAAAGUACUUUCAGCGGGGAGGAAGGGAGUAAAGUUAAUACCUUUGCUCAUUGACGUUACCCGCAGAAGAAGCACCGGCUAACUCCGUGCCAGCAGCCGCGGUAAUA
rnacentral:rRNA from 1 species